UACGUAGGGGGCAAGCGUUGUCCGGAUUUAUUGGGCGUAAAGAGCGUGUAGGCGGUUUGGUAGGUCCGCUGUGAAAACUCGAGGCUCAACCUCGAGACGCCGGUGGAAACCAUCAGACUAGAGUCCGGAAGAGGAGAAUGGAAUUCCCGGUGUAGCGGUGAAAUGCGCAGAUAUCGGGAGGAACACCGGUGGCGAAGGCGGUUCUCUGGGCCUUACCUGACGCUGAGGAGCGAAAGCGUGGGGAGCGAACAGG
rnacentral:rRNA from 1 species